GACGAACGCUGGCGGCAGGCCUAACACAUGCAAGUCGAACGAGUGGCGGACGGGUGAGUAAUGUCUGGGAAACUGCCCGAUGGAGGGGGAUAACUACUGGAAACGGUAGCUAAUACCGCAUACCAUCGGAUGUGCCCAGAUGGGAUUAGCUAGUAGGUGGGGUAACGGCUCACCUAGGCGACGAUCCCUAGCUGGUCUGAGAGGAUGACCAGCACCACUGGAACUGAGACACGGUCCAGACUCCUACGGGAGGAAGCAUUGGGGAAUAUUGCACAAUUGGCGCAAGCCGGAUGCAGCCAGGCCGCGUGUAUGAAGAAGGCCUUCGGGUUGUAAAGUACUUUCACCGAGGAGGCGUUACUCGCAGAAGAAGCCCCGGCUAACUCCGUGCCAGCAGCCGCGUUAAUAC
rnacentral:rRNA from 1 species